UGGGGGGGUACUGGGAUAUACUGGGAUGGACUGGGAUAUACUGGAGGGGUACUGGGAUGGAUGGGGGGCACUGGGGGGGUACUGGGAUAUACUGGGGGCUACUGGGAUGGACUGGGAUUGACUGGGAUGGAACUGGGAUGGGCUGGGAUAUACUGGGAUGGAUUGGGGGGGACUGGGAUAUACUGGGAUAUACUGGGAUGGACUGGAAUGGACUGGGAUGGACUGGGGGGGGCACUGGGAUGGACUGGGGGGGUACUGGGAUAUACUGGGAUGGACUGGGGGGGCACUGGGAUGGAACUGGGAUGGACUGGGAUGGACUGGGGGGAUACUGGGAUAUACUGGGAUGGACUGGGAUGGACUGGGAUGGACUGGGGGGGCACUGGGAUGGACUGGGGGGGUACUGGGAUAUACUGGGAUGGACUGGGAUAUACUGGAGGGGUACUGGGAUGGAUGGGGGGCACUGGGGGGGUACUGGGAUGUACUGGGGGCUACUGGGAUAUACUGGGAUGGAUUGGGGGGGACUGGGAUAUACUGGGAUAUACUGGGAUGGACUGGGAUGAACUGGGCAGGCACUGGGAUGGACUGGGGGGGUUACUGGUCCAUACUGGGAGGGUACUGGGCUAUACUGGGGGGUUGGGGGGUACUGGUUUAUACUGGUCCAUACUGGGAUGGACUGGGGGGGUUACUGGUCCAUACUGGGGAUGCUCUGCUCCAUACUGGGAGUACUGGUCCAUACUGGGAGUCCCGGUCCCGGACCAUACUGGCCUUACUGGUUCAUACUGGGCUAUACUGGUCCAUACUGGGCUAUACCGGUCCAUACUGGGCUAUACUGGUCCAUACUGGGAUAUACUGGGAGGGUACUGGUCCAUACUGGGAGUACUGGUCCCUAUGGGGAUGCCCUGCUCCAUACUGGGCAUACUGGUCCGUACUGGGAGUACUGGUCCCAAUCCAUACAGGGCUUACUGGUCCAUACUGGGCUAUACUGGUCCGUACUGGGCUAUACUGGUCCAUACUGGGAGUCCCCGUCCCAGUCCAUACUGGCCUUACUGGUUCAUACUGGGCUAUACCGGUCCAUACUGGGCUAUACUGGUCCGUACUGGGCUAUACUGGUCCAUACUGGGGGUCCCGGUCCCGGUCCAUACUGGCC
rnacentral:lncRNA from 1 species